rnacentral:rRNA from 1 species
AGGGUUUGAUCCUGGCUCAGAUUGAACGCUGGCGGCAGGCCUAACACAUGCAAGUCGAGCGGUAACAGGGAUAGCUUGCUAUCUGCUGACGAGCGGCGGACGGGUGCGCAACACGUAGGAAUCUACCCAGUAGCGGGGGAUAGCCCGGAGAAAUCCGGAUUAAUACCGCAUACGCACUACUCUUUUUCGGAAGAGGGUGGAAAGCAGGGGCUCUUCGGACCUUGCACUAUUGGAUGAGCCUGCGUCGGAUUAGCUAGUUGGUGGGGUAAAGGCCUACCAAGGCAACGAUCCGUAGCUGGUCUGAGAGGAUGAUCAGCCACACUGGGACUGAGACACGGCCCAGACUCCUACGGGAGGCAGCAGUGGGGAAUAUUGCACAAUGGGCGCAAGCCUGAUGCAGCCAUGCCGCGUGUGUGGAGAAGGCUCUAGGGUUGUAAAGCACUUUCAGCGAGGAGGAAAGGGGUUGAGCUAAUACCUCAGCUCUGUGACGUUACUCGCAGAAGAAGCACCGGCUAACUCCGUGCCAGCAGCCGCGGUAAUACGGAGGGUGCGAGCGUUAAUCGGAAUUACUGGGCGUAAAGCGUACGUAGGCGGCUACUUAAGUGGGAUGUGAAAGCCCUGGGCUCAACCUGGGAACUGCAUCCCAAACUGGGUAGCUAGAGUGCGAGAGAGGAGUGUGGAAUUUCCUGUGUAGCGGUGAAAUGCGUAGAUAUAGGAAGGAACACCAGUGGCGAAGGCGACACUCUGGCUUGACACUGACGCUGAGGUACGAAAGCGUGGGGAGCAAACAGGAUUANAUACCCUGGUAGUCCACGCCGUAAACGAUGUC